rnacentral:lncRNA from 1 species
UAAUUAUUUUGCUAUGUAAUUAUAUGUAUAAGAAACUAUGUAUAACAAACAGUUAGUAACUCCGCAGUUGUAGAAUUUACAUACAUCUAGUCGUGUAGUAAUACAGAUGAAGUAAUUCUGUUAGCCCAUAUUAAAAAUGUAUUGUAUUGUAAAUGGGGCUCGAACUGUGAAAUGUUGAAGAUGAUAAAUUAGGCCGAGAUAUAAUAAAAUUUUG